rnacentral:rRNA from 1 species
GACGAACGCUGGCGGCGUGCUUAACACAUGCAAGUCGAACGGUAAGGCCCUUCGGGGUACACGAGUGGCGAACGGGUGAGUAACACGUGGGUGAUCUGCCCUGCACUUCGGGAUAAGCCUGGGAAACUGGGUCUAAUACCGGAUAGGACCACUGCCUGCAUGGGUGGUGGUGGAAAGCUUUUGCGGUGUGGGAUGGGCCCGCGGCCUAUCAGCUUGUUGGUGGGGUGAUGGCCUACCAAGGCGACGACGGGUAGCCGGCCUGAGAGGGUGACCGGCCACACGGGGAAUGGGAUACGGCCCAGACUCCUACGUGAGGCAGCAGUGGGGAAUAUUGCACAAUGGGCGCAAGCCUGAUGCAGCGACGCCGCGUGAGGGAUGACGGCCUACGGGUUGUAAACCUCUUUCAGCACCGACGAAGCGCAAGUGACGGUAGGUGCAGAAGAAGGACCGGCCAACUACGUGCCAGCCGCCGCGGUAA